rnacentral:rRNA from 1 species
AUGCAAGUCGUACGGUAAGCUUCGGCUUAUAGUGGCGAAAGGGAGAGUAACGCGUGGUUACAUGCCCUCGGGACCGGGAUAGCGGCGGGAAACUGCCGGUAAUACCGGAUAAUAUCUUUGGAUCAAAGGUGUGAUUCCGCCCGAGGAUUGGACCGCGUUCUAUUAGCUUGUUGGCGGGGUAAUGGCCCACCAAGGCGACGAUGGAUACCGGGUGUGAGAGCAUGGCCCGGCUCACUGGGACUGAGACACUGCCCAGACACCUACGGGUGGCUGCAGUCGAGAAUCUUCGGCAAUGGGGGCAACCCUGACCGAGCGACGCCGCGUGCGGGACGAAGGCCUUCGGGUUGUAAACCGCUGUCAGUUGGGAGGAAGUGCCGGGGGGUUCUCCCCUCGGUUUGACCGAUCUUCAGAGGAAGGACGGGCUAAGUUCGUGCCAGCAGCCGCGGUAAGACGAACCGUCCAAACGUUAUUCGGUAUCACUGGGCUUAAAGCGUGCGUAGGCGGCCUGGUAGGUGAGGUGUGAAAGCCCACGGCUCAACCGUGGAAUUGCGCUUCAAACCACCAGGCUGGAGGAUGGCAGGGGUGAUGGGAACUGAUGGUGGAGCGGUGAAAUGCGUUGAUAUCAUCAGGAACAUCGGUGGCGAAGGCGCAUCACUGGGCCAUUUCUGACGCUGAGGCACGAAAGCUAGGGUAGCGAACGGGAUUAGAUACCCCGGUAGUCCUAGCUGUAAACGAUGAGCACUGGGUUGAGGGGACCUCCACAUCUUCUCGGCCGUAG